AGGGUUCGAUUCUGGCUCAGGAUGAACGCUAGCUACAAGGCUUAACACAUGCAAGUCGAGAGGCAGCAUUGGAGUAGCAAUACUUCAGAUGGCGACCGGCGCACGGGUGAGUAACACGUAUCCAACCUGCCGCUUACUCGGGGAUAGCCUUUCGAAAGAAAGAUUAAUACCCGAUGGUAUAAAGAGUUCGCAUGUUCUCUUUAUUAAAGAAUUUCGGUAAGCGAUGGGGAUGCGUUCCAUUAGAUAGUUGGCGGGGUAACGGCCCACCAAGUCUACGAUGGAUAGGGGUUCUGAGAGGAAGGUCCCCCACAUUGGAACUGAGACACGGUCCAAACUCCUACGGGAGGCAGCAGUGAGGAAUAUUGGUCAAUGGACGAGAGUCUGAACCAGCCAAAGUAGCGUGAAGGAUGACUGCCCUAUGGGUUGUAAACUUCUUUUAUAAGGGAAUAAAGUGAGGGACGUGUCCCUUUUUGUAUGUACCUUAUGAAUAAGGAUCGGCUAACUCCGUGCCAGCCGCGGC
rnacentral:rRNA from 1 species